rnacentral:misc_RNA from 1 species
GAUGAAGAACGUAGCAAAAUGCGAUAAGUAAUGUGAAUUGCAGAAUUCAGUGAAUCAUCGAAUCUUUGAACGCACAUUGCGCCCGCCAGUAUUCUGGCGGGCAUGCCUGUUCGAGCGUCAUUUCAACCCUCAAGCACAGCUUGGUAUUGGGACUCGCGUUAAUUCGCGUUCCCCAAAUUGAUUGGCGGUCACGUCGAGCUUCCAUAGCGUAGUAGUAAAACCCUCGUUACUGGUAAUCGUCGCGGCCACGCCGUUAAACCCCAACUUCUGAAUGUUGACCUCGGAUCAGGUAGGAAUACCCGCUGAACUUAAGCAUAUCAAUAAGCGGAGGA